AAAAAGAAGCAUUAAUGCUCAUCAUGCUGGUAGUUUUAAUUCAUGGCAUUCAGCAAAUUUAAUUACAGUGUCUUUGCAUUCAAAUUACAUUAAGAGCAACCAUGUCAAUGCAUGAAAUUCUUGACGUUUGUAAGACAGCAUUUAUGGUACUUGUUAAACAAAUAUAAAAUGGUGUGUAUCAUGAAAACUUUUUCAAAGAUAUCUUUUAAGAAGUUAUACUAUAAGCAAUAUUUUACUUUUAAGUGAUCUUUGACUUUCAGCCAACAAAUAAACGCCAUGUAGAUCUUUAGGUAAUAUAGUAAUUUUGUAGUGAUUAAUCUGUUGAAAUCGGUUUCUCUAGCCUGGAAAAGAAAAAUUGAUUGUGCUAAAACAGAUUUUAGAAAAUUUAACCUUGGUCUGAUAGGUUUCAAAGCAUGGUCAUCUUUGCAGUCUUGCAAAAUGUGUUGUUCACCCCACCCCUUGUCAGUCAACUUGUCUAAUGAGCUUAAUAAUGAGAUCAAGAAAAGAGGGGGCGGUUUUAGCAAAUUGUGUAGUCUCUCCCCAACUUCAGGAAUUUUUGGGGGUCCCGGAACUGGCCAGAACUGAGGUUGUCAAGCAAACGUGGGCCUACAUUAGAGAAAAAGAUUUGCAAGACCCAAGUAAUAGACAAAAUAUGAUUUGUGAUGAACAGCUGCAUGCCCUUCUUGUGUAGAUACAAUCAACAUGUUUCAAAUGAAUAAGGCCCUGUCUAAGCACAUUUGACCCUUAUAUUCAGUUGUUCAGACCAAGUCAACACCAAAGGAAAAGCAUUGGAAGCAAGAGAGAGAAGAAGGUAGAACCAGAAAUUUUGGAUUACCAUUUAAUUUGAUGUGUUGUUGCAGAUGUCACUUCUUGUUGAAGCCAAAACAUAGUCAGAUUCUGAUCUAGUCAUCACCAUGUGUAUUCACUCAUUUCAUUUUGUCUCAUCACUCAGUUUCUUUCGUCCUUUUUUAAUUUGGAUUGAGAAUUAUUUCUUCUUUCCA